rnacentral:rRNA from 1 species
UACAGAGGGGGCAAGCGUUAUUCGGAAUUAUUGGGCGUAAAGGCGCGUAGGCGGCCGAACAAGUGGCGGGUGAAAUCCCUCGGCUUAACCGAGGAACUGCCUGCCAGACUGUUUGGCUUGAGACCGGGAGAGGUGAGUGGAAUUCCCAGUGUAGCGGUGAAAUGCGUAGAUAGUUGGGAGGAACACCAGUGGCGAAGGCGGCUCACUGGACCGGUACUGACGCUGAGGCGCGAAAGCCAGGGGAGCGAACGGG